GACGAACGCUGGCGGCGUGCCUAAUACAUGCAAGUCGAACGCAGUGGGGACGGGUGAGUAACACGUGGGUAACCUCCCAUAAGAGGGGAUAACACUUGGAAACAGGUGCUAAACCGAUACUGAUGGAUGAACCCGCGGUGCAUUGGCUAGUUGGUGAGGUAACGGCUCACCAAGGCCACGAUGCAUAGACGUCCUGAGAGGGUGAUCGGCCACACUGGGACUGAGACACGGCCCAGACGCCUACGUGAGGCAGCAGUAGGGAAUCUUCCGCAAUGGGCGAAAGCCGUACUGAGCAACGCCGCGUGAGUGAUGAAGGUCUUCGGAUGGUAAAACUCUGUUAUUAGGGAAGCGGUACCUAUUCAGAAAGCCACGGCGAACUACGUGCCAGCAGCCGCGGGAAUAC
rnacentral:rRNA from 1 species